AAACUAGGAUUAGAUACCCUUUUAUUAAUAAUUUUUUUUUAAUUAUUAUUUUUAAUAAAAAAAUUAAAUAAAUUGGCAGUAUUUUUUAAAAUUAGAGGAUUUUGUUUAUUAAUAGAUAAUACACAAUAAAAUUUAUUUAUAUUAUAUUAAAUUGUAUAUUGUUGUCAAAAAAUUAUUUUUAAAAAAUAUUAUUUUAAUAUUUUUUUAAAUAUUAUGUCAAAUCAUAAUUCAUUAUAUAUAUAUAAUUAAAAUGAGAUACAUUAAUAUUAAUUUAUUGGUUUAAAUUUUGUAAUUAAUUUAAUAAAGUGGAUUUAAAAUUAAAUUUUAAUAAAUUUUAUUUUUGAAUUAAUUUUAAAAAUAUGUACAUAUUGCCCGUCGUUUUUAAUU
rnacentral:rRNA from 1 species